CGGGGUGAGUAACACGUGGGUAACCUGCCUAAAAGAAGGGGAUAACACUUGGAAACAGGUGCUAAUACCGUAUAUCUCUAAGGAUCGCAUGAUCCUUAGAUGAAAGAUGGUUCUGCUAUCGCUUUUAGAUGGACCCGCGGCGUAUUAACUAGUUGGUGGGGUAACGGCCUACCAAGGUGAUGAUACGUAGCCGAACUGAGAGGUUGAUCGGCCACAUUGGGACUGAGACACGGCCCAA
rnacentral:rRNA from 1 species